rnacentral:rRNA from 1 species
UACGUAGGGUGCGAGCGUUAAUCGGAAUUACUGGGCGUAAAGCGUGCGCAGGCGGUUCGUUGUGUCGGCGGUGAAAGCCCGGGCCUUAACCUGGGAAUGGCCGUUGAAACUGGCGAACUGGAGUGUGGCAGAGGGAGGUAGAAUUCCACGUGUAGCAGUGAAAUGCGUAGAGAUGCGGAGGAACACCGAUGGCGAAGGCAGCCCCCUGGGCUGACACUGACGCUCAGGCACGAAAGCGUGGGGAGCGAACAGG